CAGAACGGGAAAGCCUGCGUCUUUAUGAGCGAUGAAAGGCGACAGGCUCCCAUUGUGUGCCCGGCUUUCUCUCCGUGGGGGCUGUGAAAUCGCAGCAGGAGAAAUCACACCGGCUCCCCUGGACUCAAGGGGAAAACAGCAGGGGAUGAAGAAAUACAAGCAGCAGGAGCCAAUUAGGAAGCUCUGCAAACGGGCUUCUCCCAAGACGUGAGGAAGCCACAAUGGGAUGGGGACGAUGGCAAAUUGGAAAGGCUCCAGCCAAAGGGACCAACCAGGAGACAUUCAUUUUGUAAAAGCGAAUCUCUAUCUAUCUAUUGAAGAGACAUAGGUCGGAAUGAUUGAAAUCUAUGCUAUUUGCUUUUUUUUAAAAAAAAAUCAUUUUUAUUGAAGACUUUUUAAUACAUAAAUAAUAAAAAAAAGAAAAAAGGAGAAAAAGGGGAGGAAAGAAACAAAGACAAAAACAGAAAGAAAGAAAAACGUGCAGGGAGGAACAGAGGUAUGAGGAGGGUUUGUGAGCCAGAAGAAUGAGGAAUGAGGAAGUAUUCCAUCAAGGACUCGGUGUCACAAGUGGACAGUGAAGCGGUAGCUCCCCCUGUGGCUAGAAUCGAGCAUGCCCUCAUGAAGACAGAAGCUGGAACGUUAAAUUGCCUCCGUGUCUGUCUAUAUGUGUUGUCUAUAUAUGUUGUGUGUCUAGUGGCCUUGAAUGUUUGCCAUGUAUAUGUUCAUUAUGAUCCGCCCUGAGGCCCCUUUGGGGUGAGAAGGGCGGAAUAUAAAUACUGUAAAUAAAUAAAUAAAUAUUAUCUUGUACAAUUGUAGAGUUGGAAGAGAUGCCAAGGACCAUCCAGUCCAAUCCUGUUCUGUUAGGCAGGAAUACACAAUUAAAGCCCUCUCAACAGAUACCCACCCAGUCAAUGUUGAAAAGUCUCCAAAUAAGGGAAUUCCAUCAGACUUCCAAGCAGCAUAUUAUCCUCUUGAACAGUUAUUUCCAUCAAGACACUCUUCUUAGUAUUCAGGUGGAAUCUCUUUCCCUGAAGUUUGAAUCUGUUGCUCCACUCUGCCCUAGAAAACAACCUUGCUUCCUCCUCAAUUUGGUCAAGUAUUCAAACGUAAUUUUUGUCUCCUCUUAAUCAUCUCGAGCUGAACAAUCCAAGUUCCCUAAACUGGUCUUCGUAUGGUUCGGCCUCUAGACCUUUGACCAUUUUACUGGCCCUUCUCUGGACCCUUUUACGUUUUCCUACUUCCUUCUUGAAUUGUGGUGACCAGAACUGGACACUGAGGUCUGGCCAAAGCAGAACAGAGUGUUCCUGAAAGACAUCCAUCAAUUCAAAGUAUUCCUGAAAGACAUCCAUACAACAACACAUCUACUUUGACAACACAUCCAUCCAACCUUUGUUUAAAGACCACCAAUGAUGGAAACAUAGACUCAUGGAUCUGGAUGAGACCCCCGAGGACCAUUCAGUCCAUCAUCAUAGGCGAUCCCUUGUGUCUGAGUCUGAUUGCCUUCCAAGUGUAGGGUCUUGGUGGUGCGUCCGUAGGUGAGUGUGGAGACCUAUUCUUGACCUGCAUGUUCUUCCACAGGGAGCAUAUGGAUUUCCAGGUGGAAGGUGGUCCCAACAAGGGUUGUCUUCUUGAGGCGCCUUCUUCAUCUUGAGACAUUUCUCCCUUUCACCCUCCAUUUGUUCCUCUUAGAAUUCCACAAAACACACCAUAGUUCCAAAAUUUCUGGAAAUUUACAUUUUUAAGUGUGAAGAGAAUGGGGGAAUUCUGGGGAUAUCAAUCUGUCAACCUGUUGUCUAUGGCUGUCUAUCAUCUCAAAGAGUUCUGCAACAUCAGAGCCUGGGUCUCUGAGAAUUGAGACUUCUUGACUUACAUCGCCAUCUAGAGGUGAGUCAUUCUCAUAGAUUUCCAAAAUCAGUGUUACUGUGUUUACUAGUACCAUACAUUGUGGGUUGUUGUAUGUUUUCCUGGCUAUAUGGCUGUGUUACAGUAGUAUUCUCUCCUGAUGUUUCACCCACAUCUAUGGCAGGUAUCCUCAGAGGUUGUGAGAUAUUUCUCCCUGGUGGAAUUCACUUUGUUAGUUUUGGCCUAGCUCUCUAAUAGGUUAGUCAUUUUGGGUUCCUUUGCUGUCCUUGUUGCUUCUAAUUUGGUGUCAUCUCCAAAUGCCUAUUAUAUACACCUAUUCUGUGACAAUAUUGACAGUCAGCUCUCUCGUCCGUUAAGGGCAUUUUGGAUCCUGACCCUGUCCUCUGGGGAACUAGCUGUCUCUCCCAGUUUGGUGUCUUCCCACUGGUUGCUUCUCUCCAAGAUGAAGAGGAGCCCUUGUGAAGCACCCUGUGGGUUUGGCCAAUUCACCACUUCCCAAACCAACAAACAGUAGCAUUGUCUAGCCCACAUUUUACUAGUUUCUUUGUGAGAAUAUCAUCAUCAUCACUGUGAGAAUUAUACAUGUCAUUUCCUAAUUGGUUUGAUCAUAAAUAUGUGGAAAAAGUUUAUUAAACUACCAAAACGUUGUUCUUGCAGGAGGGACAUCCUGCUAUUGCACAUUUUGCUACUGUUUUUCAAUGAAUAUCAGUUUAUAGAAUCUCAAACAAUUCAACAUAGUUUGUGGCAGCCACAAAAACAAAGUUUUUGGAGGAGAACAACUACUUUCACAACAGACCUCACAACCUCUGAAGAUACUUGCCAUAGAUGUGGGUGAAAUGUCAGGAGAAAAUGCUUCUGGAACAUGGCCAGACAGCCUGGAAAACCCACAACAACCCAACUACUUUCAAAGUCAGCAAAACACAUUUAAACAGGAAAUAACACACUAAAACCAGGAACAUAAUUUUUUCAAAGUUUUGUUAGUGUUAUCCAAUCUGCAAAUAUGGACUGUAUGACUGUAUUGUGCAUGAUGUUCAUGUUGUGAUUCAGACUGAAUGACCAACUAUGAAGUUGAUUGAAUUGUAUUGGUGGUUGUUUGAUAUUAUUGUUGUAUUAACUCUUGUGUUAUUACCUUAUUGUGUUUUCACUUGUGUAUAUUGUGCAUAUGUAUUUAUGUCAUUACGUUUGUGAACUGUGUUGACCGGGCUUUGCCCCAUAUGAGCUGCUUGAGUCCCCGCAAGGAGAUGGUGGUGGGGUAUAAAUAAUGUCUUAUUAUUAUUAUUAUUAUUUAUGCAGGCUGACCAAGGAAAUGUUGAAGGCUCUGAAUUGUCAGAGAGGCCGCAGGCUAGCAGUGAAGCAGAAGUUUGUGAUAAACAGACUAGUAAUGAAGCAGAAGUCAGUGAUAAGGGUGACCUUUCACAGGAUUCAGUACAUCAACAAGUCCCAGGUGGCUCUGACAGUGAGUCAGAGGAGUCUUCCUUAGAAAGGGAUACAAAGUUAAGGUUAAGAGUCCAUCAUCCCAGACAUUUCCUUAGGAUAGCUGGUAAACAUGUGGGAACUCAAGGUCAGAGGAAUGCUUUCUUAGCCUGCAAGCAUGGUUAAAUAGGGAGUAACAGGGAAAGAUUUCAGAUGAAGCAACAUUGAUUUUGGAAGCUAAGUUCCAGCCUUGUCUAUGCUCAUGGAAAGGGAUUCUUGCUUUUGUUCAUGCCUAGAUCAUGUGUUUUGAAUUGUAUUUUGGAGUUCAUACUGCCUUGUUUUCAGGACUGGUUUGCUAUAUUAGAGACUUUGAACUAUAUUCUACAGAUUGCCUUUGCAUUUGGAUUAAUGCUUUCUUUAUUGCUUUUUAUUCAGACUUUGCUAUCUUUUAUCUAUAAACUAUAAAAGCCAA